AUUGAACGCUGGCGGCAGGCUUAACACAUGCAAGUCGAGCGGAGAUGAGGUGCUUGCACCUUAUCUUAGCGGCGGACGGGUGAGUAAUGCUUAGGAAUCUGCCUAUUAGUGGGGGACAACAUUCCGAAAGGAAUGCUAAUACCGCAUACGCCCUACGGGGGAAAGCAGGGGAUCUUCGGACCUUGCGCUAAUAGAUGAGCCUAAGUCGGAUUAGCUAGUUGGUGGGGUAAAGGCCUACCAAGGCGACGAUCUGUAGCGGGUCGGAGAGGAUGAGCCGCCACACUGGGACUGAGACACGGCCCAGACUCCUACGGGAGGCAGCAGUGGGGAAUAUUGGACAAUGGGCGGAAGCCUGAUCCAGCCAUGCCGCGUGUGUGAAGAAGGCCUUUUGGUUGUAAAGCACUUUAAGCGAGGAGGAGGCUACCUGGAUUAAUACUCUAGGAUAGUGGACGUUACUCGCAGAAUAAGCACCGGCUAACUCUGUGCCAGCCGCUGCGGUAAAAC
rnacentral:rRNA from 1 species